rnacentral:lncRNA from 1 species
UUCAUUUCCCCUUUGUAGGAGUGAAAGAAUGUGUUAGCUGUAUUCAGAUAUUUGAAGGAGUCCUAUAUGGAUGAUGGAUAUACUGUGGCAUUAUGUUUCCAAGUGAUUAAGAAAAAGACAAAAGACUCAAGGAAAUACUUCAAGCUGCAUAUAAAGAGAAACAUGUCUUUCAAAACGCAGAGGUACAUUUCACGCAGUUGCCUUGUGGGACUUUGAGAGAUGCUGCAGCCCGUGACAUGUGGGAAUUAUCAUGAUCAACUACUCAGUUUGGAUUUCACCCAGUGGCCAAGAGCCUUGCAUACUAAAUAGCAAGGGUUGGAUUUUUAAAAAGAGUGAACCAGGUAAGUUUUGAAGGAGACAUCUGAUCAUUUAUCACUUGCUCUAAGGGCUUUAACAUGUUGCCAGGGUGUACUGAAUAAUGUAUGGCUUUUCCAUUUGUUUUCUACGUUCACUGAGCAGAUUGUUGAAGAACAAAUCUCCCUUAACUUCAAGAGAUUGACUAUAUAGUAAUAAUUGAGUCUCCUUUCUCUGGAGAGGAGGGAAGAGCUAUUUUAAGAUACACAUAAAGCAGGCAUGAGACUAUUACAGAUGCUAGUUUAAUUCAAUAGCCAAAAGCUACAAGUUAUAGAGAUUCCUUCUUUAAGUAAUUACUCUGAACUGUAAAAGAAUCAUUGGUUAUACCUGUUAUUUGGAUUUUUUUUUAAAGACAGGAUCUCACUAUGUAGUUCAGGCCGGCCUUGAACUUGCAGCAGUCCUCCUGCCUCAGCUUCCUAAGCACUAGGUU